GACCGCACGGGAUAAUUGAUUAUCCCGUGCGGUCCGUAUAACUCGACCGCACGGGAUAAUCGAUUAUCCCAUGCGGUC
rnacentral:pre_miRNA from 13 species